rnacentral:rRNA from 1 species
CCUGCCUACGGGGGGCAGCAGUGGGGAAUAUUGGGCAAUGGGCGCAAGCCUGACCCAGCAACGCCGCGUGAAGGAAGAAGGCUUUCGGGUUGUAAACUUCUUUUCUCAGGGACGAAGAAAGUGACGGUACCUGAGGAAUAAGCCACGGUUAACUACGUGCCAGCAGCCGCGUUAAUACGUAGGUGGCAAGCGUUAUCCGGAUUUACUGGGUGUAAAGGGCGUGUAGGCGGGAAAGCAAGUCAGAUUUGACAACCACGUGCUCAACCUGUGGCCUGCAUUUGUAACUGUUUUUCUUGAGUACUGGA